ACCAAGGUGGUGGACCUCCUGGAGGGCCAGGGCUACAGGCCAGUAGCCAAAAAGGUAGAAGACCUUUUGGAGCGGCCACUGGAGACCCUGGAGGAGAUGGACAAGCUAUGCCACAGACUCCAGGCAGAUGCCCCAUACAAAAAAAAGAUUGUGAGAACGAUUCAUUCCACAUUUUCUUACCUGACUUCUUUCCUGAUAUGGCAUUCUCAUGACAGAUCUUUUGAUUUUUACAGAUUCAGUACUUGAGUCUGCAGGCUGGGGUGAGCAUCGGAGAUGGAGUGAGGCGAAUGAGACGGCAGCAAUGGACUAUGGGGUCUAUUUAGUUAUAAGGGCAGAAAGGGGAAACUGGCGCUUCAGGAUCUGCAGAUCAGGCGUUAAUAAGAGCAUGUCAAUAGUCCUACCCUCAAAUUAAAGGCAGGUGCGUGGAGGACUGCAUAGCAGCCACUUUAAAACACGCUCCUCACCGUGGCCAGAUGCCCACAUGUCCGCCCGUGGACGAGGAGGAGGAAGAAUUGGAAGCGGAAGUGGAAGAUGAAUUCCAAACUUGAAGAUUUUAUUGUAUUAUGAAUUGUUGAAUAAAUUAUGUUUUAUCCUGAAUAUGUCUUUCUUUUAGCUUGGAGAAAAUAAAAUAGUAUAAGUCUAGUACA